UACGUAGGCAGCGAGCGUUGUUCGGAGUUACUGGGCGUAAAGGGUGUGUAGGCGGUUUUCUAAGUUUGGUGUGAAAUCUCCCGGCUCAACCGGGAGGGUGCGCCGAAAACUGGGAGACUAGAGUGCGGGAUGGGAGAGUAGAAUUCCUGGUGUAGCGGUGAAAUGCGUAGAUAUCAGGAGGAAUACCGGUGGUGUAGACGGCUCACUGGACCGUAACUGACGCUGAGACACGAAAGCGUGGGUAGCAAACAGG
rnacentral:rRNA from 1 species